rnacentral:lncRNA from 1 species
AAGUGAAAUCAUAGAAGAGUAAAACUGACUGCCAGGAAAUUACAGCUGCCUCAGGUCUCCAGCAGAAGAUGUAGGCCCAGAUCAAAGGUGUGGGCCACCACACCUUUAAUCUCAGGUGACCUUGAACUCGGAGAUCUCCCUUUCUUAAUUUUCAGGAAUUCAUAGCCACCAUGGCUCAAGAUCUCCAUACCAAGAUCCAGAAAUAAAGGCACAGAAUGUCAUUUAUAAAUCAAAGAAUAAAAUCUUGCUACAAAUGGCACAAUGUAAAUACAUUUCUCAAUAGGAGGUAUCUUCACAAGUUCAAGGCCCAUGUCAGUUCUCAUAACAGACACAGGAGGAAGCAUAAGAUAAACAGCGCUGUAAGUGCUCAGAUAGUAAAUAAAAGUAUAUAC